UACGAGGGGCCCAAACGUUAAUCGGAAUUACUGGGCGUAAAGCGUGCGCAGGCGGUUUGUUAAGUCAGAUGUGAAAGCCCCGGGCUUAACCUGGGAACUGCGUUUGAAACUGGGAGACUUGAGUGUGGCAGAGGGGGGUGGAAUUCCACGUGUAGCAGUGAAAUGCGUAGAUAUGUGGAGGAACACCAAUGGCGAAGGCAGCCCCCUGGGUCAACACUGACGCUCAUGCACGAAAGCGUGGGGAGCAAACAGG
rnacentral:rRNA from 1 species